UCUGUCUUCUAGGCAUCACUAAGAAAUCUAUAUAGUCCUACCUCCCAGAAGAUGAGUGAAGGUGUUACAGUUAGGAUGACUGUUGACAUGAGGCUCUCAGAGGUUCACCACAAAUCGGAAGGACAAGAUUGAGAUUGCCAUUCUUACGGUCUUUCCAUAGUCUCCCCUUGCAAUUAGAAUUGACCAUCACUGGGGACCUCAUCUAUUAGAUGAAGGAUGUCUAGAAAGCCUCUGGACAGGCAGCAUGGCAGAAAUCAACUCUUUCCAAAAAAAAAAAAAAAAAAAAAAAAAAAAGGCCUGCUGCUGACACUGGAUAGAGCACAAACAAGCUCUCUGUCUGACUCCUUCAGCUCUUGCAUAUCCCCUUGGCUAACAUUUCAGAGCUUCUGAUUCUUCAGACAUCAGCUUUUUGAUACUGAAGAGAUUGUUCUACCUGAUGAGCCCAGGCCUAGAAGAUGGACUACAUCCAAGAAGCCUGGCCCAUCUAAGGCCAAGUCACAUCUUUAAGAAAUAUUUGAAAGCAUUUGUGCACGGGAUAAAGGUGCAAGGACCAAAGUCUCCUUAGACAUUCCAGCCUACAGAGGGUCUGACAGACUCAGGUCAAAGGUUACGUCUGAAGCCUAGAUCAUGAAGAAGGCCCCACUCCACAGGAGAAGUCUGUGGCUGAUGCUGUUGCAACCAGGACUAUGAUUGUGAAACUUGUGUCUGUGGAUAGCAGAUUCACGAAUCUUGUGCCCAGGUAUCCACAGGCCUUUUUUCAUACAUUCCUUGGUAUAACUUUGCAAGUCCUGACUUUGGAAGUGUUGGGUCCUUCUGCUAUCUCACUUGACAUAUAGUCCAAG
ensembl:lncRNA